rnacentral:rRNA from 1 species
UCCCUAUGGGGUGCAGCAGUCGCGAAAACUUUGCAAUACACGAAAGUGUGACAAGGCUAUCCCGAGUGCCAUCCGCUGAGGAAGGCUUUUACCCAGUAUAAAUAGCUGGGAGAAUAAGGAGAGGGCAAGUCUGGUGUCAGCCGCCGCGGUAAUACCAGCCCUCCGAGUAGUGUGGAUGUUUAUUGGGCCUAAAGCAUCCGUAGCUUGCUAAGCAAGUCCCCUGUUAAAUCCACCGAUUCAAUCGGUGGAUUGCGGGGGAUACUGUUUGGCUAGGGGACGGGAGAGGCCGACGGUAUUUCCGGGGUAGGGGUGAAAUCCUAUAAUCCCGGGAAGACCACCAGUGGCGAAGGCUGUCGGCUAGAACGCGCCCGACGGUGAGGGAUGAAAGCUGGGGGAGCGAACCGGAUUAGAUACCCGGGUAGUCCCAGCUGUAAACGAUGCAGGCUAGGUGUUUGGGCGGCCACGAGCCGCCCUAGUGCCGCAGGGAAGCUGUUAAGCCUGCCGCCUGGGGAGUACGGCCGCAAGGCUGAAACUUAAAGGAAUUGGCGGGGGAGCACCACAAGGGGUGAAGCUUGCGGUUUAAUUGGAUUCAACGCCGGAA